UCUUUGGUAGUAUAUCGGAUAGUACACCCGCUUGUCACGCGGGAGAGCGGGGUUCGACUCCCCGCCAGAGAG
rfam:Coniophora puteana RWD-64-598 SS2 unplaced genomic scaffold CONPTscaffold_16, whole genome shotgun sequence.